rnacentral:rRNA from 1 species
UGCAUGUCUAAGUAUAAGCAAUUAUACCGUGAAACUGCGAAUGGCUCAUUAAAUCAGUUAUCGUUUAUUUGAUAGUACCUUACCACUUGGAUAACCGUGGUAAUUCUAGAGCUAAUACAUGCUAAAAACCCCGACUUCGGAAGGGGUGUGUUUAUUAGAUAAAAAACCAAUGCCCUUCGGGGCUCUUUGGUGAUUCAUGAUAACCUAACGGAUCGCAUGGCCUUGCGCCGGCGACGGUUCAUUCAAAUUUCUGCCCUAUCAACUUUCGAUGGUAAGGUAUUGGCUUACCAUGGUUUCAACGGGUAACGGGGAAUUAGGGUUCGAUUCCGGAGAGGGAGCCUGAGAAACGGCUACCACAUCCAAGGAAGGCAGCAGGCGCGCAAAUUACCCAAUCCCGACACGGGGAGGUAGUGACAAUAAAUACUGAUACAGGGCUCUUUUGGGUCUUGUAAUUGGAAUGAGUACAAUUUAAACCCCUUAACGAGGAACAAUUGGAGGGCAAGUCUGGUGCCAGCAGCCGCGGUAAUUCCAGCUCCAAUAGCGUAUAUUAAAGUUGUUGCAGUUAAAAAGCUCGUAGUUGAAACUUGGGUCUGGCUAGCGGGUCCGCCUCACCGCGUGCACUUGUCCGGCUGGACCUUUCCUUCUGGAGAACCUCAUGCCCUUCACUGGGUGUGUUGGGGAACCAGGACUUUUACUUUGAAAAAAUUAGAGUGUUCAAAGCAGGCCUUUGCUCGAAUACGUUAGCAUGGAAUAAUAGAAUAGGACGUGCGGUCCUAUUUUGUUGGUUUCUAGGAUCGCCGUAAUGAUUAAUAGGGAUAGUCGGGGGCAUCAGUAUUCAAUUGUCAGAGGUGAAAUUCUUGGAUUUAUUGAAGACUAACUACUGCGAAAGCAUUUGCCAAGGAUGUUUUCAUUAAUCAGUGAACGAAAGUUAGGGGAUCGAAGACGAUCAGAUACCGUCGUAGUCUUAACCGUAAACUAUGCCGACUAGGGAUCGGGCGAUGUUUCUAUCUUGACUCGCUCGGCACCUUACGAGAAAUCAAAGUUUUUNGGUUCUGGGGGGAG